rnacentral:rRNA from 1 species
ACGGAAGGCAGCAGUGGGGAAUAUUGGACAAUGGGGGAAACCCUGAUCCAGCGACGCCGCGUGAGUGAAGAAGUAUUUCGGUAUGUAAAGCUCUAUCAGCAGGGAAGAUAAUGACGGUACCUGACUAAGAAGCCCCGGCUAACUACGUGCCAGCAGCCGCGGUAAUACGUAGGGGGCAAGCGUUAUCCGGAUUUACUGGGUGUAAAGGGAGCGUAGACGGCAUAGCAAGUCUGAAGUGAAAAUCCAGAGCUCAACUCUGGAACUGCUUUGGAAACUGCCAGGCUAGAGUGCAGGAGGGGCAAGCGGAAUUCCUAGUGUAGCGGUGAAAUGCGUAGAUAUUAGGAGGAACACCGGUGGCGAAGGCGGCUUGCUGGACUGUAACUGACGUUGAGGCUCGAAAGCGUGGGGAGCAAACAGGAUUAGAUACCCUGGUA